AUUGAACGCUGGCGGCAGGCCUAACACAUGCAAGUCGAACGGUAGCACAGAGAGCUUGCUCUCGGGUGACGAGUGGCGGACGGGUGAGUAAUGUCUGGGAAACUGCCCGAUGGAGGGGGAUAACUACUGGAAACGGUAGCUAAUACCGCAUAACGUCGCAAGACCAAAGUGGGGGACCUUCGGGCCUCACACCAUCGGAUGUGCCCAGAUGGGAUUAGCUAGUAGGUGGGGUAAUGGCUCACCUAGGCGACGAUCCCUAGCUGGUCUGAGAGGAGGACCAGCCACACUGGAACGGAGACAAGGUCCAGACUCCUACGGGAGGCAGCAGUGGGGAAUAUUGCACAAUGGGCGCAAGCCUGAUGCAGCCAUGCCGGGUGUAUGAAGAAGGCCUUCGGGGUGUAAAGUACUUUCAGCGGGGAGGAAGGCGGUGAAGUUAAUAACUUCACCGAUUGACGUUACCCGCAGAAGAAGCACCGGCUAACUCCGUGCCAGCCGCCGCGGUAA
rnacentral:rRNA from 1 species